rnacentral:rRNA from 1 species
UGGGGAAUCUUGGACAAUGGGCGAAAGCCCGAUCCAGCAAUAUCGCGUGAGUGAUGAAGGUCUUCGGAUCGUAAAACUCUGUUAUUAGGGAAGAACAUAUGUGUAAGUAACUGUGCACAUCUUGACGGUACCUAAUCAGAAAGCCACGGCUAACUACGUGCCAGCAGCCGCGGUAAUACGUAGGUGGCAAGCGUUAUCCGGAAUUAUUGGGCGUAAAGCGCGCGUAGGCGGUUUUUUAAGUCUGAUGUGAAAGCCCACGGCUCAACCGUGGAGGGUCAUUGGAAACUGGAAAACUUGAGUGCAGAAGAGGAAAGUGGAAUUCCAUGUGUAGCGGUGAAAUGCGCAGAGAUAUGGAGGAACACCAGUGGCGAAGGCGACUUUCUGGUCUGUAACUGACGCUGAUGUGCGAAAGCGUGGGGAUCAAACA